rnacentral:lncRNA from 1 species
GGCCCAGGCGCGAACUGGAAAGCAGCCUCGAUGGCCCGUCAGGAUCCGAACGGAGGCCACGGGAGGGUUCGCCCGCGACCCCACGCUCUCCUGACGUCCUUUCGGGCCCCGGCGCGCUGACGUCAGCCGUACCGCGGCGUGCUCUAGGGCCCAGGGCCGUGGCUCCACCCCCGCAGCGUCCGGGACAGGCCGGAGGCGGGGUCUAAAGGAGGUGCUCAGACGGUGGUGGGCGGGGAAGGAGGCGGGGCCUAAAGGAAAAAGGGCGGAGGGCCCGUGCAGCGCAGCGGGCGGAGCUGGAGGCGGGGCCUAAGGGCGGAGCCUGGGGCAGGUGGGACACUUGCAGUAACGCCGCGCGCGCUGGAGCCCCGAGGCUCGCAGAGGCUGCUGAGGCCCCCACAGGUGGCCCCUUCCUUCAGGUUGAGGCGUCCUGGACCUUUUGGGCGUCUCUCUCUAGGUGACCCCCGAAGGGUUUCCUGAAACUCAACCAGGUGGCUCUGCAGUGGUGACAACAGAUGGAGUCCCACCCAUCCCUGGCCAAGCUGCUCCCAAGAUCAUGACGCCCUCAGAGUCAUCUUUGACUCACUGAACAAUCAGUUAUCAACUGCUCACUGUUUGCCAGAUACUGAGACGGCUCCUGGGCACACAGAAAAGAGCCAGGCCUGAUCUCAUCCCAGAGCUCAGCCUAGCGCAGGUCGCCUUUCCCAACUCAGCAGUACUGUGGUUGCCAAGGCUGCUCUUUAACAAUGCCUGUUCCUGGGUCUCACCGCAGAGAUGCUAAUUCACAAGGUAAGAGAGAGGUGGCACCUAGACACCUGCUUCUGUAAUAAGCACUAACCUGGUAGGAGAGACAGAAACACAAAAUUGUAAAAGUGUGCUGAGAGGAAUGGCCAAGGCACUGGGAGCUGCCUUGGGAGGCCCACCCAAGUGGGCGAGGAGCACCCCAGGCUGAUGGGAUGAGACUCCCAGGGGCCAGCUGGGCUGCUGUGAAGUAUCCCAGCGAGGGGCAAUGAUGGACUGAGUGAGGCCAGUGGUCAGCAGGGACAGUGACAACAAUGCUAAGCACAGUCACGUAUCCAGGACUUUACAGCAGCCCUCACUAAUUCCCACAAGCCCCAAAGGACUUUUUUUUUUUUUUUUAAACUAUGGAUGAUAUAGUGACCUUUUGAGAGGUUAGCAGUUUGCAGAAGGAGGGCCAGGACUGGAAAUUAGGUUUGUUCCUCUUCAAACUCACACCUUCAGCUACGACUACAAACCGUAUUGGCUCCUAAAGGAUGUGGAAGAAAGAGUGAAUUAAGACGAAUGGUGAGAGGUAAAUCCCAAAGGACUGGAUGACUGGUUGGAUGUGGGGUCAGGGAGUACU